GCGUGAGUGAUGAAGGCCUUAGGGUUGUAAAGCUCUUUUACCGGGGACGAUGAUGACGGUACCCGGAGAAUAAGCCCCGGCUAACUUCGUGCCAGCAGCCGCGGUAAUACGAAGGGGGCGAGCGUUGUUCGGAGUUACUGGGCGUAAUGGCGCGUAGGCGGCGCUCCAAGUUAGGCGUGAAAGCCCCGGGCUCAACCUGUGAAUUGCGCUUAAGACUGGAGUGCUCGAGUGCGGAAGAGGUGAGUGGAAUUCCCAGUGUAGAGGUGAAAUUCGUAGAUAUUGGGAAGAACACCAGUGGCGAAGGCGGCUCACUGGUCCGCAAAUGACGCUGAGGCGCGAAAGCGUGGGGAGCAAACAGGAUUAGAAACCCUGGUAGUCCACGCCGUAAACGAUGAGUGCUAGACGUAGGGGAACUUAAUUCCUUGGUGUCGAAGCUAAGCGCAUGAAGCACUCCGACAUGAGGAGUACGGACGCAAAGUUAAAACUCAAAGGAAUUGACGGGGGCCCGGACAAGCGGUGCAGCAUGUGGUUUA
rnacentral:rRNA from 1 species